rnacentral:rRNA from 1 species
UGGUGGAGUGAUUUGUCUGGUUUAUUCCGUUAACGAACGAGACCUCGACCUGCUAAAUAGUGUUGCCUUGCCCCGUGCAAGGCUCACCCAACACUUCUUAGAGGGACUAUCGGUGGCUAGCCGGUGGAAGUUCGAGGCAAUAACA